rnacentral:rRNA from 1 species
CAGUGGGGAAUCUUGCGCAAUGGGCGAAAGCCUGACGCAGCCAUGCCGCGUGAAUGAUGAAGGUCUUAGGAUUGUAAAAUUCUUUCACCGGGGACGAUAAUGACGGUACCCGGAGAAGAAGCCCCGGCUAACUUCGUGCCAGCAGCCGCGGUAAUACGAAGGGGGCUAGCGUUGCUCGGAAUUACUGGGCGUAAAGGGAGCGUAGGCGGACAUUUAAGUCAGGGGUGAAAUCCCAGAGCUCAACUCUGGAACUGCCUUUGAUACUGGGUGUCUUGAGUGUGAUAGAGGUAUGUGGAACUCCGAGUGUAGAGGUGAAAUUCGUAGAUAUUCGGAAGAACACCAGUGGCGAAGGCGACAUACUGGAUCAUUACUGACGCUGAGGCUCGAAAGCGUGGGGAGCAAACAGGAUUAGAUACCCUGGUAGUCCACGCCGUAAACGAUGAUUGCUAGUUGUUGGGAUGUUUACAUCUCGGUGACGCAGCUAACGCAUUAAGCAAUCCGCCUGGGGAGUACGGUCGCAAGAUUAAAACUCAAAGGA